CGCGUAGGCGGGCAUCCAAGUCAGAGGUGAAAGCCCUGGGCUCAACCCGGGAACUGCCUUUGAAACUGGACGUCUUGAGUAUGGGAGAGGGUGGCGGAAUACCCAGUGUAGAGGUGAAAUUCGUAGAUAUUGGGUAGAACACCAGUGGCGAAGGCGGUCACCUGGCCCAUAACUGACGCUGAGGCGCGAAAGCGGUGGGGAGCAAACA
rnacentral:rRNA from 1 species